GAUCCAGACUUUGAUCAUGGCUCAGGAUGAACGCUAGCUACAGGCUUAACACAUGCAAGUCGAGGGGCAGCAUGAACUUAGCUUGCUAAGUUUGAUGGCGACCGGCGCACGGGUGCGUAACGCGUAUCCGAAUCUACCCAUGGCUCGGGGAUAGCCUUCUGAAAGGAAGAUUAAUACCCGAUGUCUUGCGGGGUGGCAUCACCU
rnacentral:rRNA from 1 species